CUUUACUGGAGCGACCUGUUCAACAGCACCUCAACAUGCCUUCACUCAUCUGCUCUCUGUUUACGUGUUUUCUUUGGCAAAAAGUAUGGCUGCUGCUCUUUAAUUGCUGUAUAAAUCGCUUGUAGUUAAAAGAGACUUACCUCCUACGUAUGAAUGAGGAGGGAGCGGUCCGGCUCAUGUAUAUAAAUACCGACUUCAAGACAGCAAAAGGAACUGUAUCUUUACAGGACAUUCCUCCAGACCUUAGGAAAGCACCCUGAACCAGCCUUCAUAACCACAGACACUAUGGCAGACUCAAUGACGGGGUGCACCUCCUGUGGACUUCACGGCAUUUUCCUGACUUCUUUUACAAGAGAAAAGGUCCAUGCUGCAACCAUCCCUGUGUUACUUUCGUCCCGGCUCUCCCUUAAUUGUUGAAUUUGAUGGCUCUUUUUUUCAUUUUAAUUUGGAGGUGGUAUUGGGCCAAUUCUGCUUGGCAGGCAUUAUAUGUAGUUUUUCUGUGAAGGUGUAAUAUACUUUUAUAGAAAUCCACAUGAAGUGUUUCCAUUGGAUGUUUGUCCCAAUUUGUGAAA